AAAGAAGCCUUGCGACCCCGCUCCACCCUCCGUACCACGUGGGCCAGGCGCCCCGCAGCCUGAUCCCUCGGCUGAGGCGGGGUCAGAGGGCUAAGGGUGACUGACUGCCCAGUGCAUGGAUCUCAGCAGCACGGCUUGACUUUCGGGCGGCAGGCAAGGAUGCUAAUCCACAAGGUUCCUGAGUCCAACAUCCCUCCCUCCAAUGUGGGGCUCGAAUCCGCUAUUGCAACCAAACCCGGGUUCUGCCCGCAGGGUGGCGCAAUGACAAGAGCCACCAGGUGACCCUGGUAACUCCCGCACCUAGACCUACAGGAGCAGUUUUUCUGCAGCACCACAUCUGUAGCCCUGCAUGCCGCUGGCUCCAGUGUUGUGUGUGUGGUCAUGCUCCAUCCAGCCCAGCAGCAACUUUGGUGUUUGACACCCCUCGGGAGGCACCGCUUUGGAAGAGACUGGUAACAGCAGGGUGGGACCGGCUACUUAGCUGUUCUCAGUCUGAAAGGAUUCUGGAAAGGGGCUCUAUUUAACCCAAGCACUGGAGUCCAACACAGCCUCUGCCGUGUGACAGGUGUGUGCGGAGCCCAAGAUGUGUUGGGAACAGCUAUCGUUUCUACUGCUUUGUCCCAUGCCUCUGGAGCUCCUGGGUUCCUGAACUUCAAGCUGGGCCCCAUCCUUCACCCUAUCAGGGCCCUGGGUGGAGCUGACUUCCAACAGUAUACAGUGGGUCUUGGUACUUCCUCCUUGGCAUUCGACAGUUGGUGUUUUUGAAGUCAGAGCCAUCCUCAGUAGGCUCCUAGGGGAUCGUAAGCGGCUUUCUCUGGGUGGAAACCUACUCCAUGCAGCCUUCAGCAAAGGAUCCUACGGCUGUUGAUCCCCUCGGAAGUGAGACAUAAUGUCCCGGAGCAGAUGCUGAUGGGGACUCACUGUUGGGCCACCUGAUUUCUGUGUUCAUCUUCCCAGGCUCCACCUUUCAGAUCCCAUCCCUGGUGUCUGCAGUUACAACUUUACUAACCAGAACUUUGUUUCCAGCUUACGCUGAAAAGCAAAGGGUGACUUAGAAUAAAAAUGUAACAAAUAGCCCCAUAGCCCAAACCUUUUCUGCCAUGAUUUACUGUACCAGAUACCUAUAAGUGUCCAGGGCAAAUUAAACACAUCAAUAAAUGGCUUUCUUGUGUCUGUCCUGCAUUUAUUCCCUUGAAUGUGGUGAGGGAGGUUUCAGU
rnacentral:lncRNA from 1 species